rnacentral:lncRNA from 1 species
GAAAUUUUGAGGGAAGCAUGAUAGAAAUCUUCUAUUAAUACAGUAUUUUUGUUCAGAUGGUUUCUAAUUGCUGUGCAAAAUGUCUGUAGUUAUAUAAGAGAUGUUAGUAAUUGGUAGAAAGAAAUUAAUUUGUUUUCAGAAAGGAAUGAGAAAUACCUGUUAUGUAACAGUAGUAAAAGUUAACUAGGGACUGGAAAGACAACGAGGGGUUGAGUCCAGCUCUCAGUAUUGUUCUGUGUCUUGGAACUGCAGGUUUUCCACAAAAGAAAAUUUGGUUGUGUCAAGAGAUAAGAAUAAACCUCCUCUUCAAAAAUGCAGAGGAAAAUUACAGCACUUGUGAAAGGGAAAAUUUGGUUAUAAGAGCAAAAUAAACAGAAGAGAAAGACCUACAUCCAUAUGGCUGAUUCAUUCCUGCUGAGUCCACUUGUUGGAUUAGUUGCAAAUAUUUAAGCAUUUACCAUUCAAUAUAAAAACACUACAGAGCUUAACCAUUAUAACCACUGUACCACUCACUAUUUGGAAUUACCUGUGUUACCCUUGCAAUGACAAGAAAUGCCAAUAAAAGAUAAUACAGA